rnacentral:rRNA from 1 species
UCGGUGCUAGUGGCAGACGGGUGAGUAACACGUGGGAACGUACCUUUCGGUUCGGAAUAAUUCAGGGAAACUUGGACUAAUACCGGAUACGCCCUUCGGGGGAAAGAUUUAUCGCCGAUAGAUCGGCCCGCGUCUGAUUAGCUAGUUGGUGAGGUAAUGGCUCACCAAGGCGACGAUCAGUAGCUGGUCUGAGAGGAUGAUCAGCCACAUUGGGACUGAGACACGGCCCAAACUCCUACGGGAGGCAGCAGUGGGGAAUAUUGGACAAUGGGCGCAAGCCUGAUCCAGCCAUGCCGCGUGAGUGAUGAAGGCCUUAGGGUUGUAAAGCUCUUUUGUCCGGGAAGAUAAUGACUGUACCGGAAGAAUAAGCCCCGGCUAACUUCGUGCCAGCAGCCGCGGUAAUACGAAGGGGGCUAGCGUUGCUCGGAAUCACUGGGCGUAAAGGGCGCGUAGGCGGACUCUUAAGUCGGGGGUGAAAGCCCAGGGCUCAACCCUGGAAUUGCCUUCGAUACUGAGAGUCUUGAGUUCGGAAGAGGUUGGUGGAACUGCGAGUGUAGAGGUGAAAUUCGU